UGGAGAACUCCCACGGCUCUGGCCUCCCCUCCCCCUCCUUGCUCGCUGCCUCCUAGCAAGAAGGAGAAGACUGGUUAGCAGAGAAAUGGCAACUCGGCCGGGAGCUGGAACUAGAAACUUUCUGUCAAUGUAACAGACGCGUGGGUGGUGACCCAAUGGUGGCUGGGCUUCGGGUCACGUGACGACUUCUUUGUCGCUCCGGAAGAGAACUGUGAAGUUUAGGUUGCGUGAGAAUUGCCAGGAAAAAAAAAAAUCAAGAUUUGGGGGAAUUACCCACAUAGACGGAAGGUGUGUUAACUUGGGCGCUUCUUGGAUUCUACCCUGAGGAGGAGGCGCAUGGUGAGAGGAGAGGUUCCUUUCAUCCAGAGUCUAGCCUGGAGAAAAAACUGAGUAUCUCUGAAAGAGGCAGGAGGGACAAGCAAGUUGAGCAGGGAACCUUCUGGUGUGAGGGAUACUCUCUUUCCCCUCCCACCUCACGAAGACUGCAGCCUGACCUAGAAACUUCCUGAAGAUUUUUAACCUCCAGAGCCAGUGGAACUGAGCCUCCUCCAUGGCCUUGCUGCAGUCUGUUUCCUUUGAUUUUUCUAAAGGAGAAAAGAAGAAAGAAAUUGGAUAACUGCUGGACUUUUCUACUGAGAGAUGGAAAAGUGCUUUCUAAAACAGAAAAUUUUUCCCUAGGAAAAAAGAAAGUAAACAAAGCAAUUUGAACAAUAUUAUUCUCUGGGUUGGAAACUGGGUGCCCCUGUUUACUGAAGUUCUCUGAGGCCAAAAAAAAAAAAAGAUUAU